UACGAAGGGGGCUAGCGUUGUUCGGAAUUACUGGGCGUAAAGCGCGCGCAGGCGGCUAUCCAAGUCAGUGGUGAAAGCCCGGAGCUCAACUCCGGAACUGCCAUUGAAACUGUUUAGCUUGAGUAUGAGAGAGGUGAGUGGAAUUCCCAGUGUAGAGGUGAAAUUCGUAGAUAUUCGCAAGAACACCAGUGGCGAAGGCGGCUCACUGGUCCGGUACUGACGCUGAGGUGCGAAAGCGUGGGGAGCAAACAGG
rnacentral:rRNA from 1 species